AUGUACGUUCGCUCAUCGGUGACACAAAUUCGGCCUUCGGAGUAUCGUUAUCGUGGACGAUUACGAAGUACUCGAUACUUAAAUGAAGUAAAGGCCUGCUGUUUAAGAGCAAGUGUUUGCUUUGGCUGCAAUACACCAUAAGACACAUCGCAUCGUUUAGUACGACUGCCUAAUGUCCUGCUGUUAAAAGGCUUUCCCACAGUGCAACAACUACAAUUGUACAAGUAUCGGAAGCCUAUAUCGAUAGCGAACAUCGAAACUAGUGUCCUUCGUUUUACGUAACUCUCUGGCAUCGUUUACGCUUGUUAGUCAGUAGCAUAUACAUAUACCGAUGCAGCAAGAUGAAACGUCUAAUGUGUACUUCGUAAAAUGAGAUAUCUUUCGAAUGUAGUUUAUACAUAUGUAUGUAUGUGUUUGUGUGUGUUUCAUAAAACUUUUUUCAACAGAAAAGAAUCGUGGAAUCCGUCCAAUGUAAUAAUAUAUUGUAGAGAAACAAAUUAAACAAAGAAAUUCGAAUAUUUUUAAAUUAAUAUCUAAAAAUUAAACAUAUUUAAUUUUGCAAAAUAAAUUGCUAUCAGUCUUUAUCUAUUUUUUUCCAGAGAAAUUAUUUACUAGCAAAUAAAUUAUAAGUAAAAAGCAAUUAUAUGUUUUAUAAAAAAAGCACAAAAAGCACAAGAUAUGAAGAGGAUAUGCUUAUUAUUUUUAAAUAGAUUUUAUUGUUUUCACUAUAAGCUGAUAACUUUUGCUUCACUUUUAUUUUUAUCACUCCUUAUGUUAAUAUACUCUUAUUACUAAACAUAAGUGAAAUCUUCGAUUUGUGAGUUUCUAGUGUGUUCGUUGAGCUGCGGGUAUGAUGGUCUUACGUAAAUUACGUAUUUGUCGCAAUGUGUAGUAAUUGUUGCGAAAUAAAUGUAACAAAAAU